rnacentral:rRNA from 1 species
GAUGAACGCUAGCUACAGGCUUAACACAUGCAAGUCAAGGGGUCUCGCGGGAGCUUGCUUCCAAGAGACGACCGGCGCACGGGUGAGUAACGCGUAUCCAACCUGCCCUUCAUAUUGGGAUAGCCUUCCGAAAGGGAGAUUAAUACCGAAUAACAUAUGAGAGUUGCCUGAUUUUCAUAUGAAAGCUCCGGCGAUGAAGGAUGGGGAUGCGUUCCAGUAGGGAGUAGGCGGGGUAACGGCCCACCUAGCCUACGAUGGAUAGGGGUUCUGAGAGGAAGGUCCCCCACACUGGAACUGAGACACGGUCCAGACUCCUACGGGAGGCAGCAGUGAGGAAUAUUGGUCAAUGGGCGCAAGCCUGAACCAGCCAAGUAGCGUGAAGGAUGACUGCCCUAUGGGUUGUAAACUUCUUUUAUACGGGAACAAACCUUGGUACGUGUACCAAAUUGCGUGUACCGUAUGAAUAAGCAUCGGCUAACUCCGUGCCAGCAGCCGCAGUAAUAC